rnacentral:lncRNA from 1 species
UUCAGGAAGAAGUAGGAAAUACCCCUGCCAAAUUUAAGGAUGACAUCAAACCAGUGCCAUACAGAAGGUCCUGAACAGACUGAAUGAAUGAACCUUGUGAAACCAAGCAAUUUCAAAUGCCAAGUACUCGAGGGAAGGAGAAGCCCCUGCAAUGUUGUGUUAGGCACAGCACUGCUAACUGGUCAAUGAAAAUGGCUCUCCUGGACUCUGGGUAUGUGUACAGAAUGAGUAUGAGAGGCUGGAGAGCAGCUCCAAGGGAAGAGAUCUGGGGGUUCUGAGUGAUGAAAGUUGAACAAAAAUCAGCAGUGAGCCCUGGACAGCCAAAAGGGCCAAGCACAUCUUGAGCCAGUGUAGUUGAGUUAAUAUCAUUUAAAAAUAAUGCAGGAGAUAUUUAAAGCACAUCAGAAGUACAGAGGACUCUUUUUGCAAGUUGAUACCUUCAAAGAAUCCCAAAUCCCUCAAAAGUGAAUUAUAUGGUAUAAAUAAGGUCAGAUAAGAGGCAAUAAAGACUGGUUUUAAUCAUUUAGGAAGAACAGUGUCAGAUGAAGAAAGAAAAAGUUGCUAUUAUGGAUGGUCCUGCUUCAGCACAAGUGAAACAAACAAAACAAUAGCAACCAAAAACACAUAGAGAAAUCCAAACAUCUCUGUGGAGAAAAUGACCAGAUUGACAGUUUUUAGGUAAUAGGAGUCCUGAAUAAUGGGGAGUCACAGAAAAACGUCAUGAUCUUCUGUUAAUUUUAUAAUGAAACAGAAUGAUAGUAGGUUAUGUUAUGUUUGGAAGGCUUUCUUAAUUUGCCUGUGCUUCUAUUAUUUGAGAACAUAAACUACAAACUUCCUCCAUUCUAUCAU